AACUGCGAAUGGCUCAUUAAAUCAGUUAUCGUUUAUUUGAUAGUACCCUACUACAUGGAUACCUGUGGUAAUUCUAGAGCUAAUACAUGCCUAAAACCCCGACUUCGGAAGGGGUGUAUUUAUUAGAUAAAAAACCAAUGCCCUCCGGGGCUCCUUGGUGAUUCAUAAUAACUUCACGAAUCGCAUGGCCUUGCGCCGGCGAUGGUUCAUUCAAAUUUCUGCCCUAUCAACUUUCGAUGGUAGGAUCGUGGCCUACCAUGGUGGCAACGGGUAACGGGGAAUUAGGGUUCGAUUCCGGAGAGGGAGCCUGAGAAACGGCUACCACAUCCAAGGAAGGCAGCAGGCGCGCAAAUUACCCAAUCCCGAUCCGGGGAGGUAGUGACAAUAAAUACUGAUACAGGGCUCUUUUGGGUCUUGUAAUUGGAAUGAGAACAAUCUAAACCCCUUAACGAGGAACAAUUGGAGGGCAAGUCUGGUGCCAGCAGCCGCGGUAAUUCCAGCUCCAAUAGCGUAUAUUAAAGUUGUUGCAGUUAAAAAGCUCGUAGUUGAACCUUGGGCCCGUCCUGCCGGUCCGCCUCACCGCGAGUACUGGUCCGGAUGGGCCUUUCUUUCUGGGGAAUCCCAUGGCCUUCACUGGCCGUGGCGGGGAACCAGGACUUUUACUGUGAAAAAAUUAGAGUGUUCAAAGCAGGCCUUUGCUCGGAUACAUUAGCAUGGAAUAAUAGAAUAGGACGUGCGGUUCUAUUUUGUUGGUUUCUAGGACCGCCGUAAUGAUUAAUAGGGAUAGUCGGGGGCGUCAGUAUUCAGCUGUCAGAGGUGAAAUUCUUGGAUUUGCUGAAGACUAACUACUGCGAAAGCAUUCGCCAAGGAUGUUUUCAUUAAUCAGGGAACGAAAGUUAGGGGAUCGAAGACGAUCAGAUACCGUCGUAGUCUUAACCAUAAACUAUGCCGACUAGGGAUCGGGCGGUGUUUCUAUGAUGACCCGCUCGGCACCUUACGAGAAAUCAAAGUUU
rnacentral:rRNA from 1 species